rnacentral:other from 19 species
ACGCAGGUCCCUCAACUGGUACAAACCGUGCAACUUGAAACCCCGCCUGGUCUUUCCAGGUCUAGAGGGGUGACACUUUGUACUGCGCAUGACUCCACGUUCGGCCUACUGGCGGGUGCUAGUAACGGUGUUGUUGUUUCGUAGCGGAGCAUGUUGGCCGUGGGAACCCCCCCUUGGUAACAAGGACCCACGGGGCCGAAAGCCACGUCUUCCAGACCCAACAUGUGUGCAACCCCAGCACGGCAACUUCAUCGUGAACACCACCUUAAGGCAACGCUGAUACUGGUACUCAGACGCUGGUGACAGGCUAAGGAUGCCCUUCAGGUACCCCAAGGUAACAAGAGACACUUGGGAUCUGAGAAGGGGACCGGGGCUUCUGUAAAAGCGCCCGGUUUAAAAAGCUUCUAUGCCUGAAUAGGUGACCGGAGGCCGGCACCUUUCCUUUGUUAACUCUUAACUU